rnacentral:rRNA from 1 species
UACGUAGGGAGCAAGCGUUGUCCGGAAUUAUUGGGCGUAAAGAGCUCGUAGGCGGUCUGUCGCGUCGGCUGUGAAAACCCGGAGCUCAACUCCGGGCCUGCAGUCGAUACGGGCAAACUGGAGUACUGCAGGGGAGACUGGAAUUCCUGGUGUAGCGGUGAAAUGCGCAGAUAUCAGGAGGAACACCGGUGGCGAAGGCGGGUCACUGGUCCGGUACUGACGCUGGAGGUGCGAAAGCGUUGGGGAGCAAACAGG